rnacentral:rRNA from 1 species
CCUAGGAAUCUGCCUGGUAGUGGGGGAUAACGCUCGGAAACGGACGCUAAUACCGCAUACGUCCUACGGGAGAAAGCAGGGGACCUUCGGGCCUUGCGCUAUCAGAUGAGCCUAGGUCGGAUUAGCUAGUUGGUGAGGUAAUGGCUCACCAAGGCGACGAUCCGUAACUGGUCUGAGAGGAUGAUCAGUCACACUGGAACUGAGACACGGUCCAGACUCCUACGGGAGGCAGCAGUGGGGAAUAUUGGACAAUGGGCGAAAGCCUGAUCCAGCCAUGCCGCGUGUGUGAAGAAGGUCUUCGGAUUGUAAAGCACUUUAAGUUGGGAGGAAGGGCAUUAACCUAAUACGUUAGUGUUUUGACGUUACCGACAGAAUAAGCACCGGCUAACUCUGUGCCAGCAGCCGCGGUAAUACAGAGGGUGCAAGCGUUAAUCGGAAUUACUGGGCGUAAAGCGCGCGUAGGUGGUUCGUUAAGUUGGAUGUGAAAUCCCCGGGCUCAACCUGGGAACUGCAUUCAAAACUGUCGAGCUAGAGUAUGGUAGAGGGUGGUGGAAUUUCCUGUGUAGCGCUGAAAUGCGUAGAUAUAGCAAUGAACGCGAGUGGCGAAGGGGACCACCUG